CAGUAGCCGCGGUAAUACGAAGGGGGCUAGCGUUGUUCAGAAUUACUGGGCGCAAAGGGCGCGUAGGCGGCCGAUCAAGUCAGGCGUGAAAGCCCCGGGCUUAACCUGGGAACUGCGUUUGGGACUGGUUGGCUUGAGUUCGGGAGAGGAGAGUGGAAUUCCCAGUGUAGAGGUGAAAUUCGUAGAUAUUGGGAAGAACACCGGUGGCGAAGGCGGCUCUCUGGACCGAUACUGACGCUGAGGCGCGAAAGCGUGGGGAGCAAACAGGAUUAGAUACCCCUGUAGUCCCUGUCUCUUAUAC
rnacentral:rRNA from 1 species